rnacentral:rRNA from 1 species
UACGGAGGGUGCGAGCGUUGUCCGGAAUCACUGGGCGUAAAGGGCGCGUAGGUGGCCUGUGGAAGUCUGCGGUGAAAGCCCGGCGCUCAACGCCGGGUCGGCCGUGGAUACUCGUCGGGCCUUGAGCUUACUAGAGGCAGAUGGAAUUCCGGGUGUAGCGGUGGAAUGCGUAGAGGAUCCGGAAGAACACCGGUGGCGAAGGCGGUCUGCUGGGGUAAUGC